rnacentral:lncRNA from 1 species
AAGCAAUGCAGUAAAUCAGCCAGAAGUAGGGAUACCACUCUGAUUCAUCAUCACACUUGCAACACAGCUACAUUUGGAAUACAAGACAACAAACAGGCUGAAUGGCUGCCUCUCUAUUAAGCCCAUCUUAGUUCUGAAAGAUGAGCAUGCUCCAGGUUUGAUACUGGAAUCUGCUUUCAGGACAUCUGUGACCUGCUGAAAUGGCUUCCUGAGAUAAAGGCUAGAGAGGCUUCUCUAAGGACCUGCUGCAUUUGGAGUGGAGGUUCAAACUUCUUUAGUAAGGAUGUGAAGAUGCAGACCCUAUGCUAUUGGUAGGAAAGCAGACCAGUGCUGUCAUGGAAAAUACUGAGAAUGCCCCUCAAAACAUGAAGAUACAUCUACCAUUGAUGCAGAAACUGACUGCUGUUUCUCUACCUGACCAAAUCAGGCUCCAACACUAGGAUCUACUGGUCCAGGAUUCUAAGCAUCCACCACCUGAGCCCCCAGUUCCCUUCUGGGGUUUCGAGAAUGAAGUUCGGCAUCUCCAUAUAUGUCUAAUGACACCUUUGGACAAUCAAAUGCUGGCAUUUCUUGGGCAUCCAGAUGAGUGAAGCUGCUGUGGAAGAAGGAACCACCUGGCCAAUUGCAACAUCACCACGAUGUGGGUUGGUGGCCCAUUGCACAGUGCUACUGAAAUGACAAGUUCAGCAAAGACACCAAUACUGUGUAAAGGUAUCAUUGGCACUACAUAAAGCCAAGCCAGACUUGGAGGAAAAGAAGUCAAGACAGAAGUUAUGAACAAAGACACAUGUGGAUAACAUCUUACUGAAUAUGGACUUAGCAAUAAUAGAAUAUUUAUUAUUAUUAUUUAGUCAAUUUGAUGAUUAUGAGCAUUUUAUUACUUUUCAUAAUGAUAUCACUUUCCCAGGAUUAGUGAAGUAUACAUUUUUUUGUAGGAAAGAAAGCUGUGAAUGCUGUGGAUGUAGAAACACAUAUGUCUUUAUAAGUUCUAGUCUCAGAGUGUAGUAAAGGUUGACAUGAUGUCAUCAUGAAGUUCUUACAAAUGUUUCUCAUAACUUAGAAAUUUCUGAAUCUGUUAUUUAUUGCAAUUUUUCAAAGCUGAUCUAAACUCUUCAUCUGAAUGAAAAGCUGUGA